AUUGAACGCUGGCGGCAGGCUUAACACAUGCAAGUCGAGCGGGGUGAUGGUGCUUGCACUAUCACUUAGCGGCGGACGGGUGAGUAAUGCUUAGGAAUCUGCCUAUUAGUGGGGGACAACAUCUCGAGAGGGAUGCUAAUACCGCAUACGUCCUACGGGAGAAAGCAGGGGAUCACUUGUGACCUUGCGCUAAUAGAUGAGCCUCAGUCGGAUUAGCUAGUUGGUGAGGUAAAGGCCUACCAAGGCGACGAUCUGUAGCGGGUCUGAGAGGAUGAUCCGCCACACUGGGACUGAGACACGGCCCAGACUCCUACGGGAGGCAGCAGUGGGGAAUAUUGGACAAUGGGGGGAACCCUGAUCCAGCCAUGCCGCGUGUGUGAAGAAGGCCUUAUGGUUGUAAAGCACUUUAAGCGAGGAGGAGGCUCUUCUGGUUAAUACCCAGGAUGAGUGGACGUUACUCGCAGAAUAAGCACCGGCUAACUCUGUGCCAGCCGCCGCCGUAAAAC
rnacentral:rRNA from 1 species